rnacentral:rRNA from 1 species
UGGGGAAUAUUGGACAAUGGGGGCAACCCUGAUCCAGCAAUGCCGCGUGUGUGAAGAAGGUCUUCGGAUUGUAAAGCACUUUCGACGGGGACGAUGAUGACGGUACCCGUAGAAGAAGCCCCGGCUAACUUCGUGCCAGCAGCCGCGGUAAUACGAAGGGGGCUAGCGUUGCUCGGAAUGACUGGGCGUAAAGGGCGUGUAGGCGGUUUACACAGUCAGAUGUGAAAUCCCCGGGCUUAACCUGGGAGCUGCAUUUGAUACGUGUAGACUAGAGUGUGAGAGAGGGUUGUGGAAUUCCCAGUGUAGAGG